rnacentral:tRNA from 1 species
GGUGUUGUGGCUCAGUGGUAGAGUGAUCGCCUAGUCCGUGCAAAUCCCUGGUUCAAUCUCAGCACCACAUAA